AGUGAACGCUGGCGGUAGGCCUAACACAUGCAAGUCGAACGGCAGCUCAGUAAGAGCUUGCUCUUACGGGUGGCGAGUGGCGGACGGGUGAGGAAUACAUCGGAAUCUACUUUUUCGUGGGGGAUAACGUAGGGAAACUUACGCUAAUACCGCAUACGACCUACGGGUGAAAGCAGGGGAUCUUCGGACCUUGCGCGAUUGAAUGAGCCGAUGUCGGAUUAGCUAGUUGGCGGGGUAAAGGCCCGCCAAGGCGACGAUCCGUAGCUGGUCUGAGAGGAUGAUCAGCCACACUGGAACUGAGACACGGUCCAGACUCCUACGGGAGGCAGCAGUGGGGAAUAUUAGACAAUGGGCGCGAGCCUGAUCCAGCCAUACCGCGUGGGUGAAGAAGGCCUUCGGGUUGUAAAGCCCUUUUGUUGGGAAAGAAAAGCAGCAGGUUAAUACCCCGCUGUUCUGACGGUACCCAAAGAAUAAGCACCGGCUAACUUCGUG
rnacentral:rRNA from 1 species